GAGCGAACAGGAUUAGAUACCCUGGUAGUCCACGCCGUAAACGAUGAGUGCUAAGUGUUAGAGGGUUUCCGCCCUUUAGUGCUGCAGCAAACGCAUUAAGCACUCCGCCUGGGGAGUACGGUCGCAAGACUGAAACUCAAAGGAAUUGACGGGGGCCCGCACAAGCGGUGGAGCAUGUGGUUUAAUUCGAAGCAACGCGAAGAACCUUACCAGGUCUUGACAUCCUCUGACAACCCUAGAGAUAGGGCUUCCCCUUCGGGGGCAGAGUGACAGGUGGUGCAUGGUUGUCGUCAGCUCGUGUCGUGAGAUGUUGGGUUAAGUCCCGCAACGAGCGCAACCCUUGAUCUUAGUUGCCAGCAUUCAGUUGGGCACUCUAAGGUGACUGCCGGUGACAAACCGGAGGAAGGUGGGGAUGACGUCAAAUCAUCAUGCCCCUUAUGACCUGGGCUACACACGUGCUACAAUGGGCAGAACAAAGGGCAGCGAAGCCGCGAGGCUAAGCCAAUCCCACAAAUCUGUUCUCAGUUCGGAUCGCAGUCUGCAACUCGACUGCGUGAAGCUGGAAUCGCUAGUAAUCGCGGAUCCCCUGCGCCGGGCGAAUACGUUCCCGGGCCUUGUACACACCGCCCGUCACACCACGAGAGUUUGUAACACCCGA
rnacentral:rRNA from 1 species